UCGUGGGGCUUGUUCACCGUACACUGAGCCACAGCUCCCGAGCCCUGAGCAGGAGGCAGCAGGACUUCGUGACGUUGUUCUCUGAAAACCUUCACCAGGCGGGGCUGUGGUCUGUCAUGCAGAAAAUGAAAUCUAUGCAUGAAGAGCAACCUUGCUGAGAACAUUUGUUUUCUUUUUAUAUCGUCUCUCCAUGGCCUGCUGGCACCCUUCAGAGAAUUCCCCCUUCUGUCACUCCCCCUGCCCCACAAAAUUGGGUGAGCAAGCAUUGAGUCACAAGCAAUGCAGCUUACUACUGCGGAAGAGACGAGAGCCUGGGAGGAGAUCCUCCGGGUAGCGCAGGGACACGGGAAGGCAGAAAGCUAAGGGUGGAGGAGAGACACUGAGAAAAACCCUCCAGCGUCCAGCCCCGACACCAAGCACGAGGUCACCCUACAGCAAUCUGAAGCCACGGAGCAGUCACUGAAGGUAACUAUGGCAACAAAAUCCCCUUCUCAGUUCCUGACCAGAUUGAUUCAUCCUCCC
ensembl:lincRNA